GCCCCUGUAGCUCAGUAGGUAGAGCACACGACUGUUAAUCGUGACAAGCAAACUUAAAGCUUGCGAUUCUGGUCGCAGGUUCAAGUCCUGCCGGGGGCG
rnacentral:tRNA from 1 species